rnacentral:rRNA from 1 species
AGAGUUUGAUCCUGGCUCAGAGCGAACGCUGGCGGCAGGCCUAACACAUGCAAGUCGAACGAACCCUUCGGGGUGAGUGGCGGACGGGUGAGUAACACGUGGGAACGUACCCUUUGGUUCGGAACAACUCAGGGGAACUUGAGCUAAUACCGGAUGUGCCCUUCGGGGGAAAGAUUUAUCGCCAUUGGAGCGGCCCGCGUUGGAUUAGCUAGUUGGUGAGGUAAAGGCUCACCAAGGCUCCGAUCCAUAGCUGGUCUGAGAGGAUGAUCAGCCACACUGGGACUGAGACACGGCCCAGACUCCUACGGGAGGCAGCAGUGGGGAAUCUUGCGCAAUGGGCGAAAGCCUGACGCAGCCAUGCCGCGUGAAUGAUGAAGGUCUUAGGAUUGUAAAAUUCUUUCAGCAGGGACGAUAAUGACGGUACCUGCAGAAGAAGCCCCGGCUAACUUCGUGCCAGCAGCCGCGGUAAUACGAAGGGGGCUAGCGUUGCUCGGAUUUACUGGGCGUAAAGGGCGCGUAGGCGGAUUGACAAGUGGGGGGUGAAAUCCCGGGGCUCAACCUCGGAACUGCCUCCAAAACUGUUAGUCUUGAGUAUGAAAGAGGUGUGUGGAACUCCGAGUGUAGAGGUGAAUUNCGUAAAUAUUCGGACAAACGCCUUUGGCAAAGGCGAUUUAUNUGGCUCAAUUAUUGACNCCUGAGGCCCCCAAAAGCCGUGGGGGAGCCCA